rnacentral:rRNA from 1 species
AACAAACGCUGGCGGCGUGCCUAACACAUGCAAGUCGCACGAGAAAUCUUGAGCAAUCGAGAGAGUAAAGUGGCGCACGGGUGAGUAACGCGUGGGUAACCUGCCCUUGGGUUGGGGAUAACUCCUCGAAAGGGGUGCUAAUACCGGGUAACAUUCCGACCUCUUCGGAGAUUGGAAUCAAAGGGGGCCUCUGCAUGCAAGCUUCCGCCCAAGGAUGGGCCCGCGUACCAUUAGCUAGUUGGUAGGGUAAUGGCCUACCAAGGCUACGAUGGUUAGCUGGUCUGAGAGGAUGGCCAGCCACACUGGAACUGAGACACGGUCCAGACUCCUACGGGAGGCAG